CUUUCUUCCAACAAGCUGAUGUGGAUUACAAAAAAAAGAUUACUAUAGUUAGGGUUGCCAAUAACCACUAUGGUUUCUUGGACACACACUGCUUCUGCAUGUUCAGGGUUAUUUAUUAAAAUUAGAAUUGUCAGGAAUCCAAAGUGAAUUUAUACAAUUCUUAUAUUAUGUUCUUAUCCACAUUGCUUUACAAUUGUUUAGCAAAAAAAUAACAUUGGUGAUAAAACAAACAGGGAAUAUGUAUUU